ACGGGUACACUGUGGGGACCGCCGCUGCUAAAGCGGAGGAAGGAAUGGGCAACGGUAGGUCAGUAUGCCCCGAAUAUCCCGGGCUACACGCGAGCUACAAUGGUUUGGUACAAUGGGUAUCUACCCCGAAAGGGGACGGGAAUCUCCUAAAACCAAUCUUAGUUCGGAUUGAGGGCUGCAACUCGCCCUCAUGAAGCUGGAAUCCGUAGUAAUCGCGUUUCAACAGAACGCGGUGAAUACCGUCCCUGCUCCUU
rnacentral:rRNA from 1 species